GACACAUUUAUACUACAAUGUUGCGCUGAAAAUAACUUUUUGCUUUUUUAAAUAUAGCAGAUAGAGAGAUAUGCCAGUGACCGUACAGUGUACAGGCAGUACCAGAUAACGGAUGAGAUCCAUUCCCUGGGCGGGGCUGUAAGUCGAAUUUAUAGAGUUACCUCACAGAAACUGUCCCUCUUGAGGGGGUCCAGGACUGGGAGCACGUGCCGGGGGUCAAAAGACGCGCCUCGCCCACCCACCAUACAGAUAGACUCGGUGCGGCCAGGCCACGUGACGCCUUGCCUUCAUCACCUUUGGACCCUCGAAGGCUGCCUGUCUCAUGAUGAGUUGCAAAGGUCAUCUGCCCUGGCCACCUCAGGACCCAGGCUCCGCCCCUUUGUGGCGAAAUCGGUGGAACGGUAACUUUGACCCACCCUUCCACGGUGGCCCCGUGCCCUGAGUUUGGUUUCGGAAAUGUGCGAAACGCCUUGUCCAAUAUACCAGCAAAUCAUUACACUUUUAGCCACCAUAAGAACAUGGCAAACAGCUAGAGCUGGUAAAACAUGUGACUCUUGCAGUCAGUUACACUUAUAUCUUUGUAUUUAUACAUGUGACAGUUUUCAAAGAAUUGAUUAAGCAAUGUUGUUGGAAAACAAAUGAAAGUUAGGUUAUGGUGUUUAAGAACACCUAUAACAAUGAUGACUUUCUUUAGUAUAUAUUAUUGUUAUUAUUAUUUCAUGCCGAAUAUAUAACAAACCCAAGCAAAAUUAAAACAGAAAGGAAAUUACCUUAACGGAUCAGACUGAGGGAUGUAUGCAGAAAACAUGUUGUGCCUAAACAGUGAAACACAACACACCUUAGCACACUGUCCUAUAGAAGCAUCCAUCCAUCCAUCCAUCAUCCAUCCAUCCAACUUUCGGUAUGCAACACUCCUGUCUAGUGAUGUGGAUAGAGAUCUAAAAAAGUCACAACAUAUUGAUUUUUAACUAUUAAUAGCAUUUGUAAAUGUUACUUUUUUAUAUAAUGACAAUAAUUUAAUAUUUUCAUAUUUUAUUAUUUGCAGUAUGUGGGUGAAUCGCUUCAGGCUUUUGUAAACUUUGAGCUUUAAGGAUACAAAAUGAGUUUAUGCUGAUGAUUGAAUUACUGACAGCUGGAUACUUGACAUGUAAUAUUUAAAGUAGCAUGCAAUAUUUAUAGUUUUUAUAUGUUGGGAUUAGCAAUGAAUUUCAACUAGAUGAGACUGUUGAACUUGAAUUGCUGUUUUACCUUUGACCUGAUCCAAUGUCCGCAUGUAACUGUAAACUCUAGUGCUCAUAGAAGGGGGAUCUGUUAUUAAUAGCAAAAUCACAUUUAUGCAAUGACCAUAACUGCAAGGCAGAGAGCCUCAAAACAAUAUUGCAGAGCUGUAUUGCACUAUACCGCCUGACCCUUCAAAUAAGGAAGCCAGUUUGAUCACCAUUUGUGUCCGUGGACAUCCCCAAAGACAACCUUUGUGUUUCAGCAGGGUUUACAGGGGAAUUUAUAGAAAAUAGUCAC